GGAAUUCGAUUUUCCGGUUGAUCCUGCCGGACCUGACUGCUAUCGGAAUGGGGUUAAGCCAUGCGAGUCGAGCGCUUCCUAACCAUGUUGGAGACGCGGCACACGGCUCAGUAACACGUAGUCAACCUACCCUGAAGAUGCAUAUAACCCCGGGAAACUGGGACUAAUACGCAAUAGAUCAGGAAUCUUGGAAUUAGAUCCUGAUUGAAAAGACGUGGAGAGCAUGUUUUUCACGCCGCUUCAGGAUGGGACUGCGGCCGAUCAGGCUGUUGGUAGGGUAAUGGCCUACCAAACCUGUAACCGGUACGGGCUUUGAGAGAAGACGCCCGGAGAUGGACACUGAGAAAAGAGUCCAGGCCCUACGGGGCGCAGCAGGCGCGAAAACUUCGCAAUACGCGCAAGCGUGACGAGGCUAUUCCGAGUGCUGCCCGCAGAGGGCAGCUUUUCUUAAGUUCAAAAUGCUUGAGGAAUAAGGGGAGGGUAAGUCUGGUGUCAGCCGCCGCGGUAAUACCAGCUCCCCGAGUGGUUGGGAUGAUUAUUGGGCCUAAAGCAUCCGUAGCCGGCUCCGUAAGUCUCCUGUUAAAUCCACCAGCUCAACUGUUGGACCGCAGGAGAUACUGCGAGGCUAGGAGGCGAGAGAGGCGAACGGUAUUCCGCGGGUAGGGGUAAAAUCCUCUGAUCCGUGGAGGACCACCAGUGGCGAAGGCGGUUCGCUAGAGCGCGCUCGACGGUGAGGGAUGAAAGCUGGGGGAGCGAACCGGAUUAGAUACCCGGGUAGUCCCAGCUGUAAACGAUGC
rnacentral:rRNA from 1 species